AUGUGCAGAGGGGUUACAGUUACAAACAUAAGUACCCAAAUAAGAAUAGGAGAGUGAGUAGUGACCCCUUGAGACUGUUGAAGUUAUUCAUUGUCCUCAGAAUCAUGGAUACAUCAAGCAGUGCAAGAAGGUGAACCAACAUUCCACAUCUCUUCACCAAAUUGUCCCCACCCAGCACUAUCUUCUCAGAAUAUCCUCUGUGCCUCUAUUUCUUUACAACGGAAUAAAAGUGGAUGCCUUAUAUUUUCAUAGA